rnacentral:rRNA from 1 species
GACGAACGCUGGCGGCGCGCCUAACACAUGCAAGUCGAACGGAGCUGAGAGAAGCUUGCUUUUCUUAGCUUAGUGGCGAACGGGUGAGUAACGCGUGAGUAACCUGCCCUGGAGUGGGGGACAACAAUUGGAAACGACUGCUAAUACCGCAUAAGCCCACGAUCCGGCAUCGGAUUGAGGGAAAAGGAUUUAUUCGCUUCAGGAUGGACUCGCGUCCAAUUAGCUAGUUGGUGAGGUAACGGCCCACCAAGGCGACGAUUGGUAGCCGGACUGAGAGGUUGAACGGCCACAUUGGGACUGAGACACGGCCCAGACUCCUACGGGAAGCAGCAGUGGGGGAUAUUGCACAAUGGGGGAAACCCUGAUGCAGCGACGCCGCGUGGAGGAAGAAGGUUUUCGGAUUGUAAACUCCUGUCGUUAGGGACGAUAAUGACGGUACCUAACAAGAAAGCACCGGCUAACUACGUG